GACGAACGCUGGCGGCGUGCUUAACACAUGCAAGUCGAACGAGGGGUUCAGGCGUCGUGGCCCACGGGGGCGUGACGAGGGGGACGCUGCCCUUAGGUUUGGGAUAACUCCCCGCCAAGGGUGCUAUAAUAGGACAAUGUCCUCGGACCAAAGAUGUAUCGGCUUUGGAUGGGACCGCGUUGGAUUAGCUAGUUGGUAGGGUAAAAGCCUACCAAGGGGACGGUCCAUAGCUGGUCUGAGAGGAUGAGCAGCCACACUGGGACUGAGACGCGACCCAGACGCCUACAAGAGGCAGCAGUGGGCGAUAGUGGACAACGGGCGAGAGCCUGAGCCAGCGAGGCCGCGUGAGGGAUGAAGUCCUUAGGGUUGUAAAGCACGCUUACCCGCGAUGAUAAUGACAGUACCGGGUGAAUAAGCACCGGCUAACUCCGUG
rnacentral:rRNA from 1 species